UAGCGUAGGGUGCAAGCGUUGUCCGGAAUUAUUGGGCGUAAAGAGCUCGUAGGCGGUUCGUCGCGUCGGCUGUGAAAUCCCGGAGCUCAACUCGGGUCUGCAGUCGAUACGGGCGGACUAGAGUACUGCAGGGGAGACUGGAAAUUCCUGGUGUAGCGGUGAAAUGCGCAGAUAUCAGGAGGAACACCGGUGGCGAAGGCGGGUCUCUGGGCAGUAACUGACGCUGGAGGAAGCGAAAGCGUGGGGAGCGAACAGG
rnacentral:rRNA from 1 species